AGUCACUCUCACAGACACACGCACACAGUCACUCUCACAGACACACGCACACAGUCACUCUCACAGACACACGCACACAGUCACUCUCACAGACACAGUCACUCACAGACUCACAGACACAAUCACUCUCACAGACACACAGACAGUCACUCUCACAGACACCCAGACACACACACAGUCACUCUCAGACACACACACACAGUCGCUCUCACAGACACACACAGUCGCUCUCACAGACACACACAGUCGCUCUCACAGACACACAGUCGCUCUCACACACACACAGUCGCUCUCACAGACACACAGUCGCUCUCACAGACACACAGUCGCUCUCAGACACACACAGUCGCUCUCACAGACACACACAGUCGCUCUCUCACACACACAGUCGCUCUCUCACACACACAGUCGCUCUCACAGACACACACACACACACAGAGGUACUCUCUCACAGACACACAGAAGUACUCUCUCACACACACACAGAGGUACUCUCUCACACACACAGAGGUACUCUCUCUCACACACACACAGAGGUACUCUCUCACACACACACACAGAGGUACUCUCUCUCACACACACACACAGAGGUACUCUCUCUCACACACACACACACACACAGAGGUACUCUCUCUCUCACACACACACACACAGAGUCACUCUCUCACGGACACACACAGAGGUACUCUCUCACGGACACACACAGAGGUAGUCUCACGGACACACACACAGGUACUCUCACGGACACACACAGAGGUACUCUCACAGUCGCGCGUGCACACAGAGACAGACGGACAGUCGCGCACAGACACAGACAGUCGCGCACAGACACAGACAGUCGCGCACAGACACAGACAGUCGCGCACAGACACAGACAGUCGCGCACAGACACAGACAGUCGCACAGACACACAGUCACUCGCACAGACACACACAGUCACUCGCACAGACACACACAGUCACUCGCAGACAGCACACACAGUCACUCGCACAGACACACAGUCACUCGCACAGACACACACAGUCACUCGCACAGACACACAGUCACUCGCACAGACACACACAGUCACUCGCACAGACACACAGUCACUCGCACAGACACACAGUCACUCGCACAGACACACACAGUCACUCGCACAGACACACACAGUCACUCGCACAGACACACACAGUCACUCGCACAGACACACACAGUCACUCGCACAGACACACACAGUCACUCGCACAGACACACACAGUCACUCGCACAGACACACACAGUCACUCUCACACAGUCACUCUCACAGACACACAGUCACUCUCACACAGUCACUCUCACAGACACACACACACACACACACAGAGGUACUCUCACAGACACACACACACACACACACACAGUCACACAGUCACAGACACAGUCACAGUCACUCACACAGGUACACACAGUCACUCACACACACACACAGUCACUCUCACACACACACACAGUCACUCUCACACACACACACAGUCACUCUCACACACACACACAGUCACUCUCACACACACAGUCACUCUCACACACACACACAGUCACUCUCACACACAGUCACUCCCACAGACACACAGACACACAGUCACACAGUCACACACACACACAGAGGUACUCUCACGGACACACACACACACAGUCACUCACAGACACAGACACACAGUCAGUCAGUCAGUCACUCUCUCUCACACAAACGGUCACUCACACACACACACACACACACACACACACACACACACACACACACACACACACACACACACACACACACACACACAGGUACUCUCACAGUCGCGCGUGCACACACACGCAGACAGUCGCGCGUGCACACAGAGACAGACGGACAGUCGCGCGCGCACGCACAGAGACAGACGGACAGUCGCGCGCGCGCACGCACAGAGACAGAAGGACAGGCGCGCGCGCACACAGGCGCGGACAGGCGCGCGGGCGCGGACAGUCGCGGACAGUCGCGGACAGUCGCGCGCGGACACGCAGUCACUCUCACAGACGCGCACACACACAGUCACUCUCACACUCUCACAGACACACACAGACACACACAGACACACACAGCCAGGCAGUCACUCUCACACAGACGGUCACUCUCACACACACAGAGGUACUCUCACAGUCGCGUGCGCACACACAGUCGCGUGUCGUGGGCACACAGAGACAGACGGACAGUCGCGAGCGUGCGCACACAGAGACAGGCACACACAGCCAGGCGCGUGCGCACGCGCACACACACACACACACACACACACACAGCCAGGCAUGCGCGCGCAGACACAGACACAGUCACAGACACAGGACAGUCAGACCCCCCUCCACUGUCACACUCUGUCUCUCUGUAGUGAUGAUCGAGCACCCCAGUGCCCCUCAAUUGAAGACGUUAACCCUAGAGCUAAGCAAAGAAUAGCCACGGACCCCACCCCCUUCCCAAAGACUUAGGACAGGAUAGGGCGGGCUUUAGGCAGGAAGAGGAUUCUGUGACUGACUGAAACAUUUGAUUACUUUUUCCUUUUUUUCCCCUUUUCACUUCUCUUGAGUGGAGUUAUUGAUUUGUAUGUAUCUAUAAACAAAAAGGAAAUUUGUACAAAAUAUACUUAUACCGCAAAACUCGUACAUAAAGAAGUAUACAAUUGUUUUGCAAUUUUGCUCUAAUUCAGGGGAGAGCAAAAUAAAAAGCAACCUGAAGUUGGAGGAAAAUACCUCCGGGUAUUGUAAUGGAAUAUCUCUACUGUAGCCCUGUUCCCCAGAGGACAUUAAAUCCUGCUGCACAAGUGAUGUCACGUCCUGUGGAAGGGCGGGUAGUGAUGUCUCUGUUGGGAUAUCCAACAAAGUAGUUGACAGGUGAAUAUCACCUGAAUUCUUCAACACCAGAACAGUCAAACUCAAACAAACCUAUAUUUGGAAAUGCUCAGUGCUAUCUGGGAUCCUUGGGACGUGCCUACCCUUAACCCUAAUCUUAAACAUAACCCUUACCUAUUUUAAAUGUCUACUUCAAUGGGGGGGUAUUGACGUCCCAAGGAUUCCGGCUUGCACAGACCAAUUGCCAAAUCUGGGAUUUUUUGGGGGUUUCUCUUUUUAAAUUCUCCCAUUCUUUUAAAAAUGUACUUUAUGUUGAAAUUGAAAAAUAUCUACUUGGCUUGUUCUGGUCCAGGCUGUGGAGCUUCCAGAUUUGCCAUUUUUACUUUUAUGAUUUCGUUUUAUGCACACGUCUGAGAGGUAGUUUUUUUUCUCUCUUCCUGCGGAAAGAGACAGAUACUGAAGACGGGAGUGAGGAUAGAACACGACCUCUGACCUUUGCAGAACUUAACUUUUUUUGUGGUUUUUAUUUUAUUUUGUCACAUCAACAACCUGAAUAAUUGUACAAAAUGCAAUGUGUAUCUCUUAAACAAGUCUCUUGAGAAUAUACAAAUAUAUAUUUCCAUAAUGCCUGUACAAAGCUGCUGCAGCUGACAAGUCAUUGUUGGAACUGGACUCACUCUGCAGAACGAUAACCUACAUACUAUCAAAGACGGACGGAUGGGGUGUUCAGUUUUAAAAAAUGUGUUUUGUCUUUAUUUUUAAACAUUCAUAUGUAUUAUGAUGACAUGCUGAUGAACCUGCUUGUCUAUCUGCAGGGACUAACUGUCAUUUUACCAUCCCAGAGCCGUCCCAGUUGGUCUCCAGGACCUAGGUCUCUGGUCUGGACUUGUUUCCCUCUGUUUAUGACCUGUUCAAACAGUGCACAGCAAAAGCAGGGAAGUUGUUAUUUUCAAUGGAAGCCUGGCAGCAGUAGCAAUGAGGCAUUUCUAGGUGAAGUCUCACCCACGAAAAGUAGGUCCGGUCAUCUGGUCACUACUGUAGAUGGUCAAAUAAGUUGCUACGCUGCCACCACAAGGCAUAAUACUCUUUUGCAGCUGUGUGUUUGAAUGGGCCAUUAGGCUGCUAACUACUGAUAGACAGUGGGUGGGGG
ensembl:lncRNA